GCUGGAGAAAUGGACCCCAAAUGGCUAUGUCCAAAUGUCCCAGAAGGAUAGAUAAUGUUGAAGAGAUGGAGGGAGUGACUUUGUUCCCAAGAAGAAAGCAUUAAAACAAAAGAGAUUAGAUGUCUCUCCCUAUUCACCCACCUCCGAUGGAUCAGUCGCAGCCCUCUCCUAUUAUCCCUCCUUCUUGUCCUCAAGGUGUUAGUUAGCCAGGUUCAGGGAAGCUGUAAACUGGAGCUUCUCGGCAUCCUACUGGGUAAAGCGGCUAUAGGUGAGAAGAGAACUGGGUAGAGGAAGGCUCCUUCCAGGUAGUAGCAGCAGCAGCAGCAGCAGCAGACAUACACACACACCACCCUGCAGCGGGACUUCCACAGAAACUCACCUGCAGCCGACUUCUCCGGACCGACCCGACCUAACCUGACAAGCUUACUCUGAACUUCUCUGGAGGCAACGGCGGCGGGCGGAAUGAAGUCCUCGGGUUCAGGAGUCAUGAAGGUCUCCACUAGUCGUAGAAGGUUUGGUGACAUAUCUGGCCCAGGUAAGAUGUCUUUGUACUAUUUUCAAUCACAAUUAAUUUACAAAUUAAUGUUAUCUAAUUUCAAUGGGACCUUCACUCAAGCAAGGUAAUCCUUUUGUUCCUUUUUAAUUUAUUUACUAUUCCAUUCCCCAUAGCAUUUGUUCUUCUUCUAGCUCUUCUCUUCUCAAGCCUUUCACAUCACCCUCUCAUUAUUACUUCUUAUCAUCACAAAAAAAAAAAAAAAAAAAUUAGACCCUUUACUGUGAUCUUGCUGUUUUACUGUAUUUCUCACAAUUCCAGAUAUAUUCUCCAAUCUGUUUUUUGAAAAUCCCUUCUUUUCAGAGCCAAUCAACCCUUCUGUAAGUGUCUCUGAAUCCAAACUUUUCCAUAAUGUCCAGUAGAGUAGCUCCUCCAUCUUCCCCACCUAUUUCUCUAAUCUUCACUCUUUUCUUAUUUACUGAUUCUUUCCCGUUGCCUAUAAACAUAUCUAAGUCUUCUAUAUCCAUUAAAAAACACUCUCAUUAGACCCUAGAAUUCUAUCUUCAUCCCUUUCUCAGCCAAACUUUUAGGAGUGUCUACACUUAUUGCCUUCAUGUCCUCUUCUUUUGCUCACUUUUCAGUCCUUUUCAGUAACUUUCAAUUGAACCAAAGUUAAUAAUGGUCUCUUUGCCAAAUCUGAUAAACUUUUCUUAAUUUUCUUCCUUUUUUGACCUUUGCAGAAUUUACUAUUUACUACCUUCUACCAGGACACUCUUCCCAUUUUGGAAUUUGGUGACACUGAUUACUUUUGAUUUUCUUUUUCUGGCCUCUGUCUCUGUUUUCUUUGUUGAUCAUCAUUUAUAUCACUUCCCACCUCAAACUUUUUACUUAUCAUCUCUGUACAGAUAUUUCACAGAUAUGUAGCUUCCAUCUCUUUUGAGUUCUAUUACUCAGUUCAAUUAUCAACUACUUUUUGAAUAUUUUGAACUGGAUAUUUGUCCUGUUAGAACCUCAAACUCACCAUGUCCAAAAUAGAAUUCAUUAGCGUUUCUUUGAAAUCCACUCUUCUAUGGGGCUUGUCUACCGUUAGGUAUAUCACCAUAUUUCCAAUUACCUAUGUUCAUAACCUUGAUGUUAUAUUUGAUUUUUCAUUCUUCCUCAUCCAAAAUUCCUAACUGGUUGCCAAAUGUUGCCAUUUCUACCAACACAACUCUCAAAUUCAACGUCUUCUGUCUACCUACACAGCUAACACUUAAUUUUUUGAAAUUUCAUUAGUAUUUUAUUUUUCCAAAUACAUGUAAAUAUAGUUUUCAAUAUUCAUUUUUGUAAGACUUUGUGUUCCAAAUUUUUGUCUCUUCCUCACCUCUCUCCUUCCCAAGAUAUGGGAUAUGCAAUAAGAUAUAGGUUAAAUAUGUUGAAUUCUUUUAAACAUAUUUCCAUAUUCAUCAUGUUGUGUAAGAAAAGUAAGAUCAUAAUUUAUAUUUAAAUAUAUUUAACAUCUACUGGUCAUCCUGCC
ensembl:lncRNA